AUAACUCUUCCUGAGCAGCUCCGGAUCAGAAAUGGGUUAUAGAGAGUCCCUGAAGAGUGAUGUGGAGCUGUUCUGCAUGGAUAGAAACUUUAGGAAAUCCCCAUGUCUGGGAUGUGGCACAGCUGCCCAGUGAGGUGGUGGGGUCACUGCCCCUGGAGAUGGUCCUGGAGAGCCAUGGAGAUGUGGCACUGAGGAGCAUGGCUGCAUCUACCACUGCUGGUUACUCCUGAGCUCUCUCAUCCCAGGGAGAAAGAGGGCGAAAUUCAGAGACUUGGAUGAGAAAUGUGAACACAUUACUGUUUGCUUUCGAGCUCUAGAUUCCUAAUUAAAAAAAAAAAAAAAAAGAUACAUAUUUCAUGACUGCGUUUGCCUAAAA
ensembl:lncRNA